rnacentral:rRNA from 1 species
UACAGAGGGUGCAAGCGUUAAUCGGAGUUACUGGGCGUAAAGGGCGCGUAGGCGGUCAUGUAAGUGAGAUGUGAAAUCCCUGGGCUUAACCUAGGAACGGCAUCUUAAACUGUGUGACUGGAGUACUGUAGAGGGUAGUGGAAUUUCCGGUGUAGCGGUGAAAUGCGUAGAUAUUCGGAAGAACACCAGUGGCGAAGGCGGCUCACUGGCCCGGUACUGACGCUGAGGUGCGAAAGCGUGGGGAGCAAACAGG